UCAGCUGCUCUUUCGGCCUACUCAGUGGCAAGUUGUAUGUUUGUCGAUUUGGAUGCUUCCGAAUUAAAGCGUGUCGUUGGGAAUUUCAAAUAAACAGUACAUUUUUGCACAUCAUUGUGAUUUACGUGCCGUUGUCGAAAAUUCUUCUUCAUCUUCUUCUUCUUAUUCGUGUAUUGCCUGAUUUGUUGGUUUUGUUUGCCAUAACUCUAUUAAGCGUCAGCUGCUUUCAAACUUUCGCCAUUCCAAGCCGCCGGUGUGUAUUUUUAAUUGUUUAUGUUUUUUGAAGACGAGCAGCAUUGAAAGUGAAUUAAGAGCAUGAAAUAAACACUACAUAAAUACAUAUUUACAUAUGUAUAUGCAUACAUAAAAAUCUAGGUAUGAGAUGUGCGUGACGUGCUGCCACGUUUAAAUUAAAAAUCAAAAAAAAAACCAAAAACAAUCAACUAUAUAAACACAUGCUAUACAUACAUAUGUACAUAUGCAUGGGCGAGUAAAUGUAUAAAAAUAUCUUCUUGCUUGCAUACUUCGUGUGUUAAGCGCAAUUGCCUCUGUCUAAAUAUUGAGUAAUCAAAAUCAAUUAUUCGCGUCGCGUAAUUUGAUUGCGUGUAAAAAAUGUAACACGUUGUGCUCCAAAAAAAAAAAAAUAAUAAAACCCAAAAACAAAAAAAGAUACUCACCGGCAGACCUACUCAAUCUUUUAUGCGACUACAUACAAACAUACAUACACGUAUAUAUGUAAAGUAAGCACGGCUAGAUGCUGCUUUUGUUUUGUACUCAAUGGAAAUUGUCCAACGGUUGCUUUAUGGGCCGUAAUAAUGAAAAGUGCUGAAUUCAUUUUUUCCAAUUGCUGAUUGGCGAAUGCAUCAACUUCAUUUCUUAAUAAUGUACAAAGGGAGUUUGAAAUCAAAG